rnacentral:lncRNA from 1 species
UUAAAAACACAUUACAGAAUUGAAAGGGACUUCACCCUUAGCCAUCCCUCUCAAAAGGAACUUCACCUCAGAACCUCCAUCAACCUCCGACUCUGCCAUCGUCCCGCCGUCAACCUCCGCAGUAGAACCUCCAACUCUAUAACAGCUACGGUCGUCAAAAACCACCUCCUUCUACAGCAGCCAACAACAACCACCAUCCCACCGUCAACAAAAUCAUUCCAGCUCUUCGACUAGUUCUGAGAUUUGAUUUUCUUUUUUCUUCACCCAUAAACUUUAUCUCCACCACUAGAAACAACCACCUCUUUCUAUUAAUCCAAGCUCCGCAUUUUCAAAUAGUCCCAAAAUUCUAGGAUUUUUUCUCUACUAAGCUCGACUACCACUUCUUGUUCUCACAGAGCCCUAAUUCUAGGUUUUUGCUUGACUCUCGCGAAUUUUCUGAUUUACAUUCUUCUUUUAUUUUUUUGCAAUUUCUCAAUAGUUGAUCCAUAAUUUGCAAAUUUCAUUAGUGAGGAAGAAAUUACAACUGGUAGUUGUAGGAUAAAUCGCAGUAAGUUUUUUUAAACUCUCUUUAUUUAAAUUUUAGAUAACCACAUUCGAUAGUUGUGUUUUUGAAUGAAGAUUUUAGUAUUAAUGUUCGUUAUUAUCCGAUUCAACUUAUUUUUAUUUUUGGGAGUAUUUGAGCGACAUAAUGUGAUUGAAUGGAGAUUAAACACACUGGUGCAUGUCUUCUUAUUAUGAUUGAAAUUGUGGAUUUCAUUGAAAUUAUGCUUUGCAUUGGUACAAUUGAUAGGUUUUGAUUCUAUAUUUUGUUAGAUAUUUCACUGUUUGAUGCAGUUGUCUUUAUUUAAAAAAAUUUCUUGUUCAACUUAUUAAACUCACAGCUUUAAAGCUGUGAGUUUUUUCUUCUGAAGCUAUUAAUAUAAGUUAGAGUUCAAUUAGGAUUUUGUCAUACAAUAAUUCCUCCCUUUUUGUUCUUGAUAUUAUGAGGAAAACAGGAAAUUUCAUCAAUAUUUAUGUUCAUAUCCUUAAAAUUCAUUUCAGAAAUAAUACACAAAUCAUAUUUUUUGUAUUGUGCAGAGAACUGCUUUGGCAGACUUGCGAGUCCCGUAACUCAGCUAUAUUUUCUGUAUAACCUUAGCUUUUGGUGGUUUAUUGGAGCUUGAACAUCCAAGUUUGUGCAGGUACAAUUUGUUUUGCUAUGUGAAAAUAACUUAAUUUUCGAUAGUAUGAAAAUGGCUAGUGAUAUUUUAUUUGUGGCCAAUUUCUAAUUAGAUAUUCCUCUGGGAAUCUUCUUUUUGUGUCUAUAGAGGUAUGUUCUUUAUUAUUUCCUUGGUAUUUAACAAUCUUUGAUAUUUUGUGGAGCUUCUGUUUGUGUUCUUUAUUUUAUCCUUGUUGAUUUUUCAAUUAGGUCCAGUCCAAUCGAAUGGAGUUAUUUGUUGUUUCAUUGGUAUUUAACAAUCCUUGUUGUUUGUGUCUAUAGAAGUAGUUAUUUGUGUUUAAAAAUUUCCAUAUGGAAAUCAAAUUGUAGCAGAAUUGUCGCACGAAACUGCUAUUCAUAAGAGACAAAAAGUACAUGUAAAUAUAAAUAGAAAAUCAAUUGCAUCAGACAUAUAUGGAUUCCACCAUAUUAAUAGACCUAAAAUAAUAUUUACAAACUUAUUUUCAGUAUGCAUUUUCUCAUAAAACUCCAGUACCUUAUUACUUGUUUUUUCACAAUGAAUUGCGUCUUCCUGGUAGGGACAAUUCCACUCAGUUCCUAGAUGCAUUUUCAAAUUGCAAGUCAGAUUCCACUAAGUUUUAUCCUCAAGGCCUCAAAGUCAGAAUUUCUUCUCCUCCUUCCUUGUGUUGUCGCCUCUACCACUUCUAUCUUUCUCCCAAAGUCAGAAUAGUCUAGUAAUUUUUACACUUUGCCUAUAUUCAAUUUUAAGAGAACUAGACUUGUUACUUAUUCAUAAUUCAGACAAAAUAUUUAUCCUGAGUAAUGCUAUAAAGACUCAACUUUUCUUGUUUACAUGAACUUAAUUUCCUUCUCUUUUCCCCCCUAACCUGCUUUUAUUGAAGUCUCAAUAAACAAAUCUCAUAGCUCACAUAGGCCAAAUAGCUGAGCACAAGAACAGCUAGGAAAAGAGAGGCAAAAUUCUGAAAAUGAUUGAAGUUCCAUUUACACUUAUACUGCUAUUGUUAUACAAGUAAAGAAAAUCCUCAAUAACCUUCUCAACAUAUACAGCUGUGUAUAUCCACAACAUACUAAUUGAUACUAAAUAUUUAUAGUGAUAUCACCAAAUUCAACAUGAUUCACAAAUCAGAAGUAUGGGGACAACAUCAAAAACUCUUAAAUUAUUAAUUCUCUAAUCUCCAAGAACUAUUGACACGAUAUCUUAGACCGAAUUCUCUUGAAGAGUAAUGACUUUAUUUAUCUUAUUUUGCAGGUGGAGUGGAUCACGAAAUGGAAGAUGAUGGCAAUGAAGAACUAGACCUUACUUGAGAUGAAUUUUGAAUUGCUAUGAUGAAAGUUCUAGGAAUCUUUUGUUAUCAACAUUUUGAAACUUACUCUCUAGAAAUGUAUUAAACUUAUGCACUUGGGGUAACGUUUGCUUUAUGAAUAUUAUUAGCUUGAUGGAUUAUUUAUAUGAUUA